CCAUCUGAAACCUGUCCCGGGACAAAAAGAGAGAGAGCAGCUGAUGGCCAAAACUGGUGGAGAUCGUCAGACGACAGGAAACGCACAUCAUCGGAGGGUCUGGAUGAGGACAGACUCAGGGAGGAUGAAGGAGGAUGGAAGAGCCGACAAGGAUGAGCAGCUGCUUUCAGCGUCAAGAAAGACAAACCAAAGAAGAAGUCUCCGAUUACUAAACUGUUCGGUUGGGGGAGUAAGAAGGAGGGCUGACGCUCUGCAAACACACCGCAGCUCUCCCUCUGAUGUUUGUGUUCAUUCUGCUGCUCUUGUUGUAGUGUUAAUGUCAGCGUACUCAGCCUGUGAUUCAUAGGAUAACACUGACAGUGUAUGUAUGUAUGUGUGUGUGUGUGUGUGUGUGUGUGUGUGUGUGUGUGUCCUCGUUUUGAGUGUACGUGUGAUCUGUCAUUUUAAGCGCUUUUAGAAAAAUGCCCUUCCCUCUGUCGACUGCAUCACUCAAGAUCUGACAUCGCUCCUGCCUGCCAGUGACACACACACACACACACACACACACACACACACACACACACACACACACACACACUGUACAUGAUGUUGAGGGGUUAAUGACUCACCAGCCGUGUUGUGAUUGGGUUCAGCGCUCCAGUUGUUAAUUUUAAUACCCUUCUCGUCUUAAUCUGUCUACUUAAUGCUCUCUCACUCACAGACAUAUGCACACACACACACAUUUCCUCUCUAUCGUCUCACACACGCCACUUGCUGAGAUGAUGCUUGUACAGUACGCAGUGUAUACAGUAACACGGAUGCUAAUACGAGUUAAAGAACAAAGCACUCAGACAACUUUAGGGUCACUUUCUGACCUCUUAAGUCGAUUACAUGUUGAACUUUUAACAUUUAAUCUGAAAGGUCCCGCUCUCUGUCGUUUUUCUGUCAAACAGCAUUACAUUUUUAUAUCUCGGUCAACAACAAGUGUACUCAGAGCCAAGGACUAUUCUUUCUUUAUAUAAUAGCAUCUCGUAGACUUGUGGUUCGGGAGUAAAAGCAAUACGCAGUUAUUCCCCUUAUCUCUGAAUUAUUUUCAAUGAUUUUCAGAAUAAUUAAGUAUCAGAGAAGGAAUAAUCAUUCUUUAGCUGAACUUGUUACAGCCUUUAGAUAAAUGCAGCCUAUAUUGAGGAGAUAUAUAAAUAGUUUUUAUGUCUUAAAAGUAAAAAUAAAAACCCUUAUGCAGAAAUACACUCAUACAGUAUGAGCAUAGCAUUUCAAUCCUGGUCUUUUGGGAACAGCAGAUCAUGAAAGUUCAUUACUAAUCCUUUUCAAAUGUCCACAACAUAUUAUGGUUUCUAUUCAGCGUCAAUUAUCCUUCAAGAAUGUACGAAACAAUCACAAUAAUUACGAGUUAUUCUCUUCACUGUAUACAUAUUGAUAUGUUUUAGUUACACAUUUAUGAGUGAAUUAACAUUUGAUACUCAAACAUGGUUCUAACAAAGUCACCGGACGUCAGGCUUUGUUUUUUUCUUUUCCUAUCCACUCUUGUUCAGCAGUACUUUAAUAUGUAGUUUGUGUUUUUACGGUCGGUCUCGAGAAAAAGGAUGAAUAUGGUUUGUGUCAUGUGACUCAAAGGUUUUCAAACUAAAAGCAUGUUUUGACUGGAUCUGUUGGUCCAUAUUGGAUCUGGAUUUGUGUUUAUGCUCGAGGCACUGAAUCAAACUUCAAAUGUCUGUGCUGUGACCAAAGUAGUUGGUACUAAACAACAUUAGGAUUGUAUAUAUGUUAAUCUUCCCGUCCCUUUUACUCCCCUUUAUCUCUGUAUAUAGUGUAUAAACGCGUAUAUGUAUAAUGGUACUAACGCCAGAUUGAUUAUUAAAUGGAGAAACCUG